GCGCCGGUGGUGUAAGGACGUAGAGCAUUCCCGCGCAGGAGGUGUGGGUUCGAGUCCCGCCCGGCGCA
rnacentral:tRNA from 1 species